UACGAAGGGGGCUAGCGUUGCUCGGAAUUACUGGGCGUAAAGGGCGCGUAGGCGGAUAUUUAAGUCGGGGGUGAAAGCCCGGGGCUCAACCCCGGAACUGCCUUUAAAACUGCAUCGCUUGAAUCCGGGAGAGGUGAGUGGAAUUCCGAGUGUAGAGGUGAAAUUCGUAGAUAUUCGGAAGAACACCAGUGGCGAAGGCGGCUCACUGGACCGGUAUUGACGCUGAGGUGCGAAAGCGUGGGGAGCAAACAGG
rnacentral:rRNA from 1 species